AGACAUUCCUAUAUGAUAAGCAUUUUUUUCUGAGACCAUCAGGCUAAACACACCAUUAAACACCCCAACAAAUGGACACUGAGAUAGCUGAGAUAUCACUGAUUUCACUGAGAGAUGUGAAGCUUCAUAUCCUGAACUGCUAAUGCAGCAACACACAGCAACUAAUGGAAAUCACAUCAUCACCACACACCUGUCAGCUUGCAAAACUUCGUGUUUCAAGGCCUAGAUGCAAAACAAGUCUGUGCUCUCACACUCUCUGGAUCUUACGGAACCGUGACUCAGCCCACCUGUGGAUCCUCCUCUCUGUACAGUUUGAGAGACUUCACUAUAAAGCAGGUGCAGAGCUGAAGUUUCAUAUUGCAUUUUCAAAGCCAUCUGUCUUUGGUUCAGCAAUACCUUCUCACUGAGGAGGACUCCCAGCUGAAGAAUACAACUCCAGCUCUGUCUGCAGAGAAUAACGGCGCCCGCCUCAUGCAGAGCUGUGAAACUGUUCCUCUUUCUGGCAUUAGGGGUUUUCCCUUGGGUAUACUUGGCUGUACAUAUGGGAGGUUUGGUAUUCAACUGGU